ensembl:misc_RNA 7SK 7SK RNA
UAUUGUGAGGGUGGUCUGGCUGCAACAUCUGUCACCCAACUGAUUGCCAGGGUUGAUUCAGCUGAACUGGCUGGCUAGGUGGGUAAGCGUUCCUCCCUCAUUCCUCCAUGUGCAUCCCUCCUGAAGUUGCAUGCUUGGUUGAUGAGGAUGACCUUUCCCAAUAGAGGAGGACCAUUCAUCAGUCAAGGGUAUAUGAGUAGCUGACUCCCCUGCUAGCACCUCUAAACAAGCUCUCAAGAUCCAUUUAUAGGAGAAUGUAGGGUAGUAAAGCUUCCAAGAUUCCAGACACAUCCAAAUUAGGUGCUGCAUGUGGCAGUUUGCCUGUCUUU